GAACCAGACUCCUACGGGAGGCAGCAGUGGGGGAUAUUGCACAAUGGGGGGAACCCUGAUGCAGCGACGCCGCGUGGGCGAGGAAGUAUUUCGGUAUGUAAAGCCCUAUCGGCAGGGAAGAAGAAAUGACGGUACCUGAAUAAGAAGCACCGGCUAAAUACGUGCCAGCAGCCGCGGUAAUACGUAUGGUGCAAGCGUUAUCCGGAUUUACUGGGCGUAAAGGGAGCGUAGACGGCGGUGCAAGCCAGAUGUGAAAGCCCGGGGCUCAACCCCGGGACUGCAUUUGGAACUGUGCUGCUAGAGUGUCGGAGAGGCAGGCGGAAUUCCUAGUGUAGCGGUGAAAUGCGUAGAUAUUAGGAGGAACACCAGUGGCGAAGGCGGCCUGCUGGACGAUGACUGACGUUGAGGCUCGAAAGCGUGGGGAGCAAACAGGAUUAGAUACCCCAGUA
rnacentral:rRNA from 1 species